rnacentral:sRNA from 1 species
AGUGUUUAAUGGGUACAGAGGGUUAUCAGAACUUAUUCACAUUAGUGUCACUAAAGUUGGUAUUCAACCCCCCACUGCUAAAUUUGACUGGCUAUAA